CUCGGGCCGGGAUGUUCACAACCCUUUGUUGUCCGACUCUGUUGCCUCCGGGGCGACCCUGCCUCCGGGCGGGGGCCCCGGGUGGACAUUUCAAACUCUUGCGUAACUUUGCAGUCUGAGUAAAUUUAAUUAAUAAAUUAAAACUUUCAACAACGGAUCUCUUGGUUCUGGCAUCGAUGAAGAACGCAGCGAAAUGCGAUAAGUAAUGUGAAUUGCAGAAUUCAGUGAAUCAUCGAAUCUUUGAACGCACAUUGCGCCCCCUGGUAUUCCGGGGGGCAUGCCUGUUCGAGCGUCAUUUCACCACUCAAGCCUCGCUUGGUAUUGGGCGACGCGGUCCGCCGCGCGCCUCAAAUCGACCGGCUGGGUCUUUCGUCCCCUCAGCGUUGUGGAAACUAUUCGCUAAAGGGUGCCGCGGGAGGCCACGCCGUAAAACAACCCCAUUUCUAAGGUUGACCUCGGAUCAGGUAGGGAUACCCGCUGAACUUAAGCAUAUCAAUAAGCGGAGGAA
rnacentral:rRNA from 85 species